UGGGCCAUACCCAGAGUGCUCUGAUUACAUACACUUCACUGGUUCCUUGUUAGAAAAGCCCAUCUUUCAAACUUAAGUAGAUUUCCUCAAUGGUCUAUUUUAUAAAGAACAAGCAACUAGUCAUAUGUGGCUAUCUCUUCUCUUAUGAGAAAAAAACAAAAAACCUCAAUCAAGUCCAUUUACAAGAAGAACAUACAGAAGAUCGCUUUAAUUUUGGCUUCAUCACGAAGCUUCUCCAAGCCAUGUAAAGUGAGUGGGACAGGAGUAAGGGGCAGAGAGAAAAGGAGAAAUGGAAACAAAGGGCAAGCACACUUUUAAAAGUUCCUGGCAACACAUAUAAACAAGCAAACAAAGAAAAAUAUGUCCAGUCUUAUAGUCAGGUGCGAUGGGAAUUCCCUGUAGCCCAGCACUAUGGAGGCAGACAGCAUGAGUAUGAAGCCAGCCUGAGUUACAUAGAAGUUCUAGGCCAGCCUGGGCAACACAGUAAAACCCUUAUCAAAAAGAAAAAAGAAAACCAAACAGGUCUUUUAAUGCUAACAUUUGUUUAUAUGGUUCAGAGCUCUCUAGCCUUUGACUAAUGAUCACACUGUUCUGUUUAUUGGUUGUUGAGCCACUGUUGAGGGACCAGACGUACAGGAGCUGAGAACACUGCAUACACAGUUACCUUGCCUGCCAUUAUUUGCAUACUCAGGUGUCCUAAACUGUUCAGUGCACCUGUCCUUGACACGGCUCGAAAAGAGGCCGUCCACUCAUCGAAUGAGGUAGAACCGGUCUUCUUAACACCAUCCUCUUCCUCAUGCCCUUUCCCUAAUGUUCCUAAGUUGCAAUGGUGUCCUUGCCACAUUUUGCAUGUUUGCAGUAACUAUAGUUGGUAGACAUCUUCCUUCCAAACACCCUCCCGAGUGCCCUGAGGCUAUUUAGUAAGAGCAGAUGUAAACAUAAGACCCAUUUCCCUUUUCAGAAUUUAUACAUAGCAUGAUAAUUAGAUGUAGCAUUUUAUAAAAUAUCUCGCCCCGGGCCCAUUUAUCACAAUGCUAGUUUUAAAUGACUGCUUCUUAGUCAUUUAAAACUACUCAAUUAAUGGUAAUUGUUUCUUGAAAUCUAACUCAGUUUAAGUCCCACCCACCCACUACGCACAGUGCACUAUGCACUAAUUACUACACAUAAGCGAAGAUUAAUAUGCUUUAGAAGGUUCAUCAUUAGUUUGACCCUUCCAGCAUUGCAGUGCGCCGGGCAAACUUUCUUUUGUUGUUGUGUUUGUUCUCGUAGCCAGUUUCAUGAACAAAGAAGAUGGUUAGCUAUUUUUCAAAUACCCACUGGAGACUGGAUGAAGGCUUUGGUUGUUCAAGUAACUGGACUAUGAUUAGACUAUUGAACCAUACUCCCUCUUGAGUUUUUCUGUUUUAAAAGUUUGAUGGUAGGAUCUUUUCCAGUUUUUCUUGUUGCAUUAUGUUAACAAAAGAAUUUUUAGGCUGAUUUGGAGGGUGUGACUUCCUGGUGCCUGGCUGAUAGCUGGCAUGUUGCAGGUUGGAAAGAGUAAGGUAAACAAAGAGGAGGGCAUUCUUCCAAGACCCUCAGCUGAUGACGUUAGUUCCGUUGCCUCUGUUUUCAUGUGGCUGAGGUUAUUAAGAACUACAGCUCAUCUUCUCUCACUUUUCCAGACAAAGCAGAGUUCCAUGAGGCCAGAGCUAGGGCAGAGCUUUCGAUGAUGCUGAGGAAGCCGAGGAAGAAACACUUUGACAGAGAGAUGUAGAUAAAGCAGCUGCUCUGCUCUGAAUCAUGCGAUUGCCCCCAGGGUUUGACGGCACAGGGCUGUGGGAGAAUGUAUGCCUGUUGGCAUCUUCACAUAGAACAGACAAAAUCGGUACCCCCUUCGUGCAAAGUACUCUAAGAUGCUUCCUGCAUUUAUUAGUCCUCUAAAGAUCCAAGCACUGCUUAUUGGUAUGUGAUUUCCUUCCUAUAAGUGAUAUGUGGUAUAUUGUGGGCUUUUUGUUGUUUGUUUGUUUGUUUGCUUGUUUUUAUCUAGCCCUAGACGUUAGGCUUGUUUUAAUUGUGAGGCUCUGUUAGUAUUCCCCAUUUUGGCAAGACUUUACCAUAUUAAUGUACCAAAUUAAAGAGAAAUAUUUUAAAUUUACUUUUCUCUUUUUUAUCAAAAGCAUUCAAAGAACUUGUAGCAGAGGUCAUUUUGUAGUUUGAGGGAGAUGUAUUUAUUUUACUUCUUCCUUUGAGGUAAUAUGUCAAUUCAUAGAGUAUUAACCAUCUUAAAUACUCCUCCGCCCACCUCCGUUCGAAGACCCUGAGCCACAGCUGUAUCAGAGGGUGUUAAGUUUGAUGGAAUCGUAUGGGCUGUAGGCAGCACCAGCUUAUUUAUCUUCUCUUCAGUAUGGGGCAGUGUUUUAUCCAAAUCUGUUUCUCCUGUAGCUUUCUCUCUGUGACUCAGUUUGCCCUAGGUGAUUGUGGCUUUGGGAAAAUAAAGUCAUCUUGCCCACCAUUAGAUGAGGGGUUUUGUAAAAUAGCCAAAAUAGCCAAAGGCUAUUUCCCUAACUAAGGGAAGGUCACUGUAUUGUCACCUCGUUCCUGCAGCUUUUGUUUUGUUUGACAAGGUCUUUGUAUUAUGUACCGCUGGCUGUCCUGGAACUCACUGUAUAGACCAGGCUGACCUCAACCUCACAGACAUCCACCUGCCUCUGCCUCCAGAGUUCUGGGAUUAAAGGUGUGUGCUACGUACCGCACCUGGUGCUCCAGAGCCCUUUACAUUUCAGUGAACUCAGAAGACAAUAGGAUCAUUGUUUUAGAGUAUCUAUUGCUCUGAUUAAAAACAAAACAGAACAGAACAAAAAAAACGUAACCAAAAGCAACUCAGGAAGGAAUCGGUUUAUUUCAGUUUACAAUUGUAGUCUGUUAUUGAGAGAAGUCAGGGCAGAGAAGCCUGCAAGCAGGACUGAAGCAGAGACCAUGGAGAAAUGCUGUUUACUGGCUUGCUCCCAUGCUCACUCAGCCUGUUUUCUUAUAUCAUCCAGGACCGCCUGCCCUGGGCUUACCUCAAUCAUUAACC
rnacentral:lncRNA from 1 species